rnacentral:rRNA from 1 species
UACGUAGGUGGCAAGCGUUAUCCGGAUUUAUUGGGUGUAAAGGGCGUGUAGGCGGGAGCGCAAGUCAGAUGUGAAAACUCAGGGCUCAACCCUGAGCCUGCAUUUGAAACUGUGUUUCUUGAGUGCUGGAGAGGCAAUCGGAAUUCCGUGUGUAGCGGUGAAAUGCGUAGAUAUACGGAGGAACACCAGUGGCGAAGGCGGAUUGCUGGACAGUAACUGACGCUGAGGCGCGAAAGCGCGGGGAGCAAACAGG